GGGGUUCAUUUCUUUUCAAUAUGCCCUGCUUUGGGAGCAGGGGGUCGGAGGUUCAAAUCCUCUCGUCCCGACCA
rnacentral:tRNA from 1 species